CCUACGGGAGGCAGCAGUGGGGACUAUUGCACAAUGGGGUAAACCCUGCUGCAGCGACGCCGCGUGAGUGUAGAAGUAAUUCGUUAUGUAAAGCUCUAUCAGCAGGGAAGAAAAUGACGUUACCUGAGUCAGAAGCCCCGGCUAACUACGUGCCAGCAGCCGCGGUAAUACGUAGGGGGCAAGCGUUAUCCGGAUUUACUGGAUUGAAAGGGUGCGUAGACGGCAGUGCAAGUCUGGAGUGAAAGGCGGGGGCUCAACCCCCGGACUGCUCUGGAAACUGUACGGCUGGAGUGCAGGAGAGGUAAGGGGAAUUCCUAGUGUAGAGGUGAAAUGCGUAGAUAUUAGGAGGAACACCAGUGGCGAAGGCGGCUUACUGGACUGUAACUGACGUUGAGGCUCGAAAGCGUGGGGAGCAAACAGGAUUAGAUACCCGAGUAGUC
rnacentral:rRNA from 1 species